rnacentral:lncRNA from 1 species
GGAGCACUCAUCUAUACUGUCUUUCUACACACUUUUUUACCUUACUUUAUCCCUCAGGAUUCUGGCAUCGAGUCCCUCCCUAUCAGUCUUUAAAAACUGUAGCCUUAAAUCGGUAGGGAUUUAGAAGACAUGAACAAUAUUCUCAUCCAUCUUGACCUAAUUGCCAUUUAUAGAACGUUCUAUCCCAAGACUUCAGAAUAUAUAUUCUUUUUAAACAUUUAAUGAAAGGAUUUAACUCCUAAACUCCAAAGCAAGAUAUUCUAAGAAGACUCAUUAAAAAAAUUAAUCUUAAAAAACAGAUUUUAAAAUUGUACAGGAGAAAUGCAUAUAUGAGUACAGAAUUAUGGGGCAUUCUGAAUACUAAUUUAAGAAAGAAAUAUAAACCCCUUUUAAAACUCAUAUAAUUUUCCAAUUUCCCUCAAAGAAGAUACUAAUAUUUUUGAUAUGACAUAGGAGUAAAAAUUGAGGGGAGGUCCUAAUAUCCAAUAUUAAUAGAGCUGUGAUUAUUCAAGCUUUAGACUUAAAUUUUUUAAAUAGAGUAAUGGUUGUUUAGUAGAGAUUAAUAUCUAAAUAAGGAAAAUGAAGAAAGGGACCAAAAAUCAAGUAAAUAGGAUAAUUGAGUUUUAAUGGGGAAGAAUUUGUAUAUCAUGAUUUUACUACCCUGAAUACCAAAGUCAGUGAUGUCUCCAAAAGGCAAAGGGAAGUGUACCAUUUUUUUUGAGCACUAUAAAAAGUGAAAGGUCAUCUGCCAGAUCUAACAUGGUAUACUCUAAUGGAAAAAUCAAGAUUCUCUUCCUUCUUAUGAUUCUAUGGUAACUGUUGAGUCGAGAAAAUAAAUCAUAAUUUGUGAUUUCAAACAUUUAAUAUGUGCACAUGUAUAACAUACUCAUCCUUUAUAUUUAUCAUGUUUUUUUGAAUAAUUUUUCCACCUUAUUGAAUAUGAAGUAUAUCUCCAUGUUCUUAUAGCUGUUUUUCUUGGUUGCUUUCGAAUUCCUUUCCUCCCUUAUUGGUUACCUAUGAAUUGUUUAGUUCUAACAACGAUUUGUAAAUUUUAAUAUUAUAGAUGUAUUGCUGUUAAUUAUUACAUCUAAAAAUAAAUUAUUUUACAGAGGCUACU